UGAAGAAGACUAUAAAAUAAAAUCUUCCUAAUCUUUCGUGCAAAAUGAGAUCUUAAUUUGACACAACCCCUACAUUUAAUGAGCCUUUCUUCUACACGUAGCCUUACAAUCUUCUCUUCGAACCCAGCCAUGAAUUAACAAGGAAAAUAUUCAAAGAAGUCUAAUAAACUGCAUCAGCAUCAGCAAAACUGAUGGCUUACUAUCUAGGUUUCAAAAGAGUGUCAGCUGGGAAAGAUUUCGAUAAUUUAUCAUAAAAUCUUAAAUUUAAAUAUCAUCUUCAUCACUUAUCCUUCAUCAAAAUAAUAAUAAUAAAUUAUCUCGAAAAUAAGAUUGCUCACUCUCUAAAUCAUAUGAAGUACAUGAUUCAUAUGUUGAUUCUUCCUGAUCUUAAUCAUCAUGAACAGGAGGUUAGAAUUGAACCCCAUUUACUUGUAUAUUAUUAUUCUUGUGGAUCAUAUAGAUAUUUUUUUUUUAUUAGGGUAUAUCCUCUAGAUAAGAUAAGCUCAAUGUAUGCUGUGGGGCUCUUAUCUGCCAGUGGCUAUCUUUUACAGACAGAUGUGGCUUUCUGAUAUUAAUGAAGAACAGAGAGGUGUGAGAGAUAGAUGCAUUGAUGCAUCCAUCAAACAUUAACUCAGUUCCAAAAGAAACUGGUCCUGAUGUGUUCUUGGUCCUGCUUGGCCAUGAGAGAGAUCAAAGUAAGAAUGGCUAUUUACUUGGAAUGCAUGCAUGAUCGAAUUGAAUCCUUCCACACACACACAAACACAGGAGAAACAUCACACAACUUGUGAGAUCUUUGUGGAUAAUGUUGUGAAUCUUUGGUGAGCAGGUCACAGCUAGUUGUAUAAUUUUAGUGCCUCCACAGAUUGAUAGGAAUGUAAUUUCCAUGGAGACUAUCCUUUAUAAUUCCAUCAAAACAAUCCAUUCCACUCCCCUCUU